CUUCCAUUCAAUAACUUUCAUUCAUCACAUCAAUCAAUCAUACAACAAGCGAAGCCUGAGCUGUUUACAAACGGUAAGCGUAUCGCGAUUUAACCGUCAAAUCACUUCAGUUGUCAAAAUAAAGGACAACGUCGGGUCGAACUAUAACGUCCUCACUCGUCAAAAUUAAAAUUCGGAAUGUACUAUUACUACAUAUGUCCAUAUGUUAAUGUAUGAAGAGACGAAAGCAGAAAGGGAACGUCUCACCAUAGCGAAUUAUUAGAAAAAUGGGAUUUCAUUCAUUUAGAAACGGAGAAAAAUCAGUAAAAUUUCAUUUUUCUUAUUAUUCACUAUGGUGACACGUUCCCUUUCUGCAUUUAAAUAUUCCUAUAUAUGUCAAUCAAUGUGGUAUGACUAAAGGUCAUCGCUUGUUUUUGUCGUUUCUGCCGAUAAAAGAAUAGUUAGCCGUUUCUGUAUGUAAUUGCGCUAUAUGCGACGUUAAAAUUGAAUGACUUCCGUAGUCGUUGAUGUUUUUUGUACCGAACUUCGACGAGUACUCAUCAGAACUAAUUUCACGAUUUUUAUUCAUCUAUACCGUUCAGGUUUUGUUUCAACAGUUUUAUGAUUCAAUUCUAAAGUUCAAUAAACGUUGUCAAGGGCUUUUCAAGAGAAAUCUUAAGUUUAGUGUUCAUUGAUGAUGAUGCAAAGUAAAUGUUUUGUUCUGUUUGUGUAAUUUGUGUUUUUGGU